rnacentral:rRNA from 1 species
GAUGAACGCUGGCGGUAUGCUUAACACAUGCAAGUCGAACGGACUCUUCGGAGUUAGUGGCGGACGGGUGAGUAACGCGUGAGAAUCUGGCUUUGGGUUCGGGACAACCACUGGAAACGGUGGCUAAUACCGGAUGUGCCGAGAGGUAAAAGAGAAAGUGCCUGAAGAUGAGCUCGCGUCUGAUUAGCUAGUUGGUGAGGUAAGGGCUCACCAAGGCAGCGAUCAGUAGCUGGUCUGAGAGGAUGACCAGCCACACUGGGACUGAGACACGGCCCAGACGCCUACGGGAGGCAGCAGUGGGGAAUUUUCCGCAAUGGGCGAAAGCCUGACGGAGCAAUACCGCGUGAGGGAAGAAGGCUCUUGGGUUGUAAACCUCUUUUCUUAGGGAAGAACAAAAUGACGGUACCUAAGGAAUCAGCAUCGGCUAACUCCGUG